UCAGACAUAUGCUUGAGAACGGAGCGACAACCAGAAGCAGAGGGGAAUUCAUCGAGACACAGACAGUAAAUAUAUGAAAAGGGAUCAAGAUCAAAAGCGCGGCCUGAAAAACAAUCAAUUAGUCACAGCAGAGUGAAGAAAGGCUAAAACCGUUCAGGCAAAUGCGCUGGAAAAUAUCUUUAAAAGAAACAUUCACGGAGACCCGCCGGUGAAAGUUCAUGCAGAAUACAGUUCCAUCAGUACCAUGCAGACAUUCAAAUGUACACACACACCCACACACCUUCCAUACAUGCAUGUGCAUACACUCACUUGCAGAGAAGUGAGUGGUGUAUCAAUU